GUGUGAUUGGGGUUGGCAUUGCUUACCUGAGCCUUAGAGUCGGUGGGUGGUGCCGUGGUGCAAGCCUGUUGUCGGGUGACGACUGGGUAGACCUCCUGCGUGGUAGGUUGUGGAACAAAAGCGGAGGUGAGCUCCCCCAAGUCAUUUCCCCCCAAAAAUCUGCUGGCAAGUCUUGCCCGGCCCCCGCUCCCCAAUUCAAAUGUAUUUUGGCAGUGGGAACUUUGUAAAUGGCUCCCCCUGCCACCCGUACCGCUAUGCAAUCC